GACGAACGCUGGCGGCGUGCCUAACACAUGCAAGUCGAACGGGGCAUUGAGAGCUUGCUCUUAAUGCUUAGUGGCGAACGGGUGAGUAACGCGUGAGAAACCUGCCUCUCAGUGGGGGACAACAGUUGGAAACGACUGCUAAUACCGCAUAAUGUAUUCGGAGGGCAUCCUCUGGAUACCAAAGCUUUAUGUGCUGAGAGAUGGUCUCGCGUCUGAUUAGCUAGAUGGCGGGGUAACGGCCCACCAUGGCGACGAUCCAUAGCCGAACUGAGAGGUUGAUCGGCCACAUUGGGACUGAGAUACGGCCCAGACUCCUACGGGAGGCAGCAGUGGGGAAUAUUGGGCAAUGGACGCAAGUCUGACCAGCAACGCCGCGUGAAGGAAGAAAGCUUUCGGGUUGUAAACUUCUUUUAUCAGGGAAGAGUAGAAGACGGUACCUGAUGAAUAAGCCACGGCUAACUACGUG
rnacentral:rRNA from 1 species